rnacentral:misc_RNA from 1 species
AAGUCGUAACAAGGUUUCCGUAGGUGAACCUGCGGAAGGAUCAUUAAAGAGUUAGGGUCCUAGUGGCCCAACCUCCAACCCUCUGUUGUUAAAACUACCUUGUUCGUCUUUUGGCGGGUGACCGGUUCCGGUUCUCCGGAGCCGCGUUAACCUUCACUGGGGUUGGCGAGCGCCCGCCAGAGUCCAACCAAACUCUUGUAUUAAACCAGUCGUCUGAGUAUAAAAUUUUAAUUAAAUUAAAA